rnacentral:rRNA from 1 species
CCUACGGGGUGCUGCAGUAGGGAAUAUUGCACAAUGGGGGAAACCCUGAUGCAGCGACGCCGCGUGAGUGAAGAAGUAUUUCGGUAUGUAAAGCUCUAUCAGCAGGGAAGAAAAUGACGGUACCUGAUUAAGAAGCCCCGGCUAACUACGUGCCAGCAGCCGCGGUAAUACGUAGGGGGCAAGCGUUAUCCGGAUUUACUGGGGGUAAAGGGAGCGUAGACGGCAGCACAAGUCUGGAGUGAAAUGCCGGGGCUGAACCCCGGAACUGCUUGGGAAACUGUGCAGCUAGAGUGCAAGAGAGGUAAGUGGAAUUCGUGGGGUAGCGGUGAAAUGCGUAGAGAUUAGGAGGAACACCAGAGGCGAAGGCGGCUUACUGGACUGUAACUGACGUUGAGGCACGAAAGCGUGGGGAGCAAACAGGAUUAGAUACCCCUGUAGUC